GAUGAACGCUGGCGGCGUGCCUAAUACAUGCAAGUCGAGCGAACAGACGAGGAGCUUGCUCCUCUGACGUUAGCGGCGGACGGGUGAGUAACACGUGGAUAACCUACCUAUAAGACUGGGAUAACUUCGGGAAACCGGAGCUAAUACCGGAUAAUAUAUUGAACCGCAUGGUUCAAUAGUGAAAGACGGUUUUGCUGUCACUUAUAGAUGGAUCCGCGCCGCAUUAGCUAGUUGGUAAGGUAACGGCUUACCAAGGCAACGAUGCGUAGCCGACCUGAGAGGGUGAUCGGCCACACUGUAACUGAGACACGGUCCAGACUCCUACGGGAGGCAGCAGUAGGGAAUCUUCCGAAAUGGGCGAAAGCUUGACGGAGCAACGCCGCGUGAGUGAUGAAGGUCUUCGGAUCGUAACACUCUGUUAUUAGGGAAGAACAAAUGUGUAAGUAACUAUGCACGUCUUGACGGUACCUAAUCAGAAAGCCACGGCGAACUACGUG
rnacentral:rRNA from 1 species